CGGCUACCACAUCCAAGGAAGGCAGCAGGCGCGCAAAUUACCCAAUCCCGACACGGGGAGGUAGUGACAAUAAAUACUGAUACAGGGCUCUUUUGGGGUCUUGUAAUUGGAAUGAGUACAAUUUAAAUCCCUUAACGAGGAACAAUUGGAGGGCAAGUCUGGUGCCAGCAGCCGCGGUAAUUCCAGCUCCAAUAGCGUAUAUUAAAGUUGUUGCAGUUAAAAAGCUCGUAGUUGAACCUUGGGCCUGGCUGGCCGGUCCGCCUCACCGCGUGCACUGGUCCGGCCGGGCCUUUCCUCCUGGGGAGCCGCAUGCCCUUCACUGGGUGUGUCGGGGAACCAGGACUUUUACUUUGAAAAAAUUAGAGUGUUCAAAGCAGGCCUAUGCUCGAAUACAUUAGCAUGGAAUAAUAGAAUAGGACGUGUGGUUCUAUUUUUGUUGGUUUCUAGGACCGCCGUAAUGAUUAAUAGGGAUAGUCGGGGGC
rnacentral:rRNA from 1 species